GAAAAACCUUUAAUCAUUGAAUCUUUCAAUUCUUUUUUAUUUUCCUUUUACCCUUUGACACUACUCUAUGAGAAGGCAGGCAAAGCGCAAGUUCUAUGAUGGGAAGUUAUCCGUGAUGUGUUGAUAUAGUGAUGAUGAUGACUGAGAUGCAUUUACAUGAUCAGUUCUGGACUGUCCAGUAUCAUAAACAUCAUCUUCCCUUUGCUCUAUUUUGGGCUUGACCAACGGCUGCCUUGAGCGGAAGGGUUGACUCUGGCAUGCCAGAGAAAGAUUAACAGAUGCAUGGAUACUUGAUGGCAAUGAAAUUUUGAACAAGUGAGGCAAUAGAGCCAGAGUGAUGGGUAGUACUACGAUUGAACUCAAAAGAGCUAUAAGGUAUGGUGUGUUUAAAGGUUGGGAACUUCAGUGGAUAAAUGGAUGCAGCUCCAAGCUUCGUUUCAUUACUGAAAUUUCCAGGAAAACUGGGUCUCAAAUAGUCAUUGUUAAAUGCUGUUUUUCUAUCAAAACCAGGUGCAAAAUCUUUAAUUUGCGUCUCAGGUUUGGUGUUUCGGGUUAAUGCCAGGGCAGGCUAUGAAUUGACAAUAACCUGGGUUAAAUUGGUACUGCCUGAGUUCACAGAGUUGUUUCUGGCUGCUGGCACUUUAUGAUCGUGUUUCCCCUCGUAUGUUGUUAUUACAUAUUUCAGAUUGUGGGAG
rnacentral:misc_RNA from 1 species